rnacentral:rRNA from 1 species
UAGGGAAUCUUCGGCAAUGGACGAAAGUCUGACCGAGCAACGCCGCGUGAGUGAAGAAGGUCUUCGGAUCGUAAAACUCUGUUGUUAGAGAAGAACAAGGACGUUAGUAACUGAACGUCCCCUGACGGUAUCUAACCAGAAAGCCACGGCUAACUACGUGCCAGCAGCCGCGGUAAUACGUAGGUGGCAAGCGUUGUUCGGAUUUAUUGGGCGUAAAGCGAGCGCAGGCGGUUUCUUAAGUCUGAUGUGAAAGCCCCCGGCUCAACCGGGGAGGGUCAUUGGAAACUGGGAGACUUGAGUGCGGAAGAGGAGAGUGGAAUUCCAUGUGUAGCGGUGAAAUGCGUAGAUAUAUGGAGGAACACCAGUGGCGAAGGCGGCUCUCUGGUCUGUAACUGACGCUGAGGCUCGAAAGCGUGGGGAGCAAACAGG